rnacentral:rRNA from 1 species
GACGGGGCCGCACAAGCGGUGGAGCAUGUGGUUAAUUCGACGCAACGCGAAGAACCUUACCUGGGCUUGACAUCCCGAUCGCACCUUAUGGAAACAUAGGGGUCAGUUCGGCUGGAUCGGUGACAGGUGCUGCAUGGCUGUCGUCAGCUCGUGUCGUGAGAUGUUGGGUUAAGUCCCGCAACGAGCGCAACCCUUGUCCUUAGUUGCCAGCAUUCAGUUGGGCACUCUAAGGAGACUGCCGGUGUCAAACCGGAGGAAGGUGGGGAUGACGUCAAGUCCUCAUGGCCCUUAUGUCCAGGGCUACACACGUGCUACAAUGGCCGGUACAAAGGGGCGCAAGACCGCGAGGUGGAGCAAAUCCCAAAAAACCGGUCUCAGUUCGGAUUGGAGUCUGCAACUCGACUCCAUGAAGUUGGAAUCGCUAGUAAUCGCGUAUCAGCAUGACGCGGUCGAAUACGUUCCCGGGCCUU